rnacentral:rRNA from 1 species
UAAACAAUUAUAAUAAUUACAACUUUCAACAACGGAUCUCUUGGUUCUGGCAUCGAUGAAGAACGCAGCGAAAUGCGAUAAGUAGUGUGAAUUGCAGAAUUCAGUGAAUCAUCGAAUCUUUGAACGCACAUUGCGCCCCUUGGUAUUCCAUGGGGCAU